GACGAACGCUGGCGGCGUGCUUAACACAUGCAAGUCGAACGGAAAGGCCCUGCUUUUGUGGGGUGCUCGAGUGGCGAACGGGUGAGUAACACGUGAGUAACCUGCCCUUGACUUUGGGAUAACUUCAGGAAACUGGGGCUAAUACCGGAUAGGAGCUCCUGCUGCAUGGUGGGGGUUGGAAAGUUUCGGCGGUUGGGGAUGGACUCGCGGCUUAUCAGCUUGUUGGUGGGGUAGUGGCUGACCAAGGCUUUGACGGGUAGCCGGCCUGAGAGGGUGACCGGCGACAAUGGGACUGAGAGACGGCCCAGACGCCUACGGGAGGCAGCAGGGGGGAAUAUUGCACAAUGGGCGGAAGCCUGAGGCAGAAGCGCCGCGUGCGGGAUGACGGCCUUCGGGUUGUAAACCGCUUUCGCCUGUGACGAAGCGUGAGUGACGGUAAUGGGUAAAGAAGCACCGGCUAACUACGUG
rnacentral:rRNA from 1 species